rnacentral:rRNA from 1 species
ACACUGGGACUGAGACACGGCCCAGACUCCUACGGGAGGCAGCAGUAGGGAAUAUUGGACAAUGGGGGAAACCCUGAUCCAGCAAUGCAGCGUGAGUGACGAAGGCCUUAGGGUUGUAAAACUCUUUCAUCGGUGAGGAUAAUGACAGUAGCCGAAGAAGAAGGACCGGCUAAUUCCGUGCCAGCAGCCGCGGUAAUACGGAAGGUCCUAGCGUUGUUCGGAAUUACUGGGCGUAAAGCGCAUGUAGGCGGAACAAAAAGUUAGAAGUGAAAUCCCUGGGCUCAACCUAGGAAUUGCUUUUAAAACUUUUGUUCUGGAAUUCAGGAGAGGAAAAUGGAAUUUCCAGUGUAGAGGUGAAAUUCGUAGAUAUUGGAAGGAACACCAGUGGCGAAGGCGAUUUUCUGGACUGAUAUUGACGCUGAGAUGCGAAGGCAUGGGUAGCAAACGGGAUUAGAUACCCCGGUAGUCCAUGCAGUAAACGAUGGGUGCUAGUCGUCGGACUUUUGUUCGGUGUCGUAGCUAACGCGUUAAGCACCCCGCCUGGGGAGUACGGUCGCAAGAUUAAAACUCAAAUAAAUUGACGGGGACCCGCACAAGCAGUGGAGCAUGUGGUUUAAUUCGACGCAACGCGAAGAACCUUACCAGCGUUUGACAUGGGAAGUGCCGGUUACAGAAUGGUAACCUUCAGUUCGGCUGGCUUCCGCACAGGUGCUGCAUGGCUGUCGUCAGCUCGUGUCGUGAGAUGUUGGGUUAAGUCCCGCAACGAGCGCAACCCUUAUCGUUAGUUACUAACAGUUCGGCUGAGGACUCUAGCGAAACUGCCGGUGAUAAGCCGGAGGAAGGUGGGGAUGACGUCAAGUCCUCAUGGCCCUUACACGCUGGGCUACACACGUGCUACAAUGGUAACUA